rnacentral:rRNA from 1 species
AUUGAACGCUGGCGGCAUGCCUUACACAUGCAAGUCGAACGGCAGCACGGGGGCAACCCUGGUGGCGAGUGGCGAACGGGUGAGUAACAUAUCGGAACAUACCCUAGAGUGGGGGAUAACGUAGCGAAAGUUACGCUAAUACCGCAUACGAUCUAAGGAUGAAAGUGGGGGAUCUUCGGACCUCAUGCUCAUGGAGUGGCCGAUAUCUGAUUAGCUAGUUGGUGAGGUAAAGGCUCACCAAGGCGACGAUCAGUAGCUGGUUUGAGAGAACGACCAGCCACACUGGAACUGAGACACGGUCCAGACUCCUACGGGAGGCAGCAGUG